rnacentral:lncRNA from 1 species
GAUUAGGUUCCUCUAUCAUAGUGCCCCUAAAUUGCAAAUUAUUUUGGAUCAUUUCUAUCAUCACCAGUUUGAUCUCAAAACUAUUAGUUGUAAUCGUCGGUCUUGAUAUACUUUUCUAAACCAUGUUUAGACUUGGUAAGGCAUAGUCCCAUAAAUUUCCCUCAUUCUGAGCCAUAUGCACGUUUGCAAGUAAUUGUGGUGUUGGUG